AAAACCCUCGCCACUCAUGAAGAACUGAGGCAAAAGGAUCACAGAUGCUGCUCGGGGCCAGCCCUAUACUCCCUCCAGUGCCUGGUCUCCGGUGGACCCGCGGGGCUCUGCAGUUCUCUGGCGGCCGCGCCUUGUAAGCGCUAAGCCGGGAGGAGGGCGCAGGCAGGGCGCACAGCUCUGAGCGCGACCCUACCCGGCUCGGGCCCGCAGCAACCCCGACUGUCCGAGAGCCUCUCCCCAAGCAAGGCUCUGCGCCGCCCUCUGAGCCCACCUCCUGGCCACAACGCUGCCUGCGCUUCUCCAGCCCAGGCCGGAAGCCCUAUGCUGCCUCCCGAAGCCGGACUUUCUGGAAGCCCAUCUUCGUAUGCUCACCAGCCCACCCUCCUACGCUGGUCAGAGUGAGAUUGCUAACCUCAAGACCCCAUUCAAUGCCAGCUUUCAACUACUGCUGAAGACCAAUGUAGGUCCUGGAAUAGAAGAACUGCAGAGUAUCCGGAGCUGGCCGACCCCAGACUGAUUCUCAACAGGUGGCUGGCGUCAAUGCUCUAGAGAUGGGACCUCGCCUUCCAAGGUGUCUUCACUAUCACAGGGCCCGGGCUCUCUGCCUCAGCCCAACCCUGGGCUUGCGCUCAGAGAGGAGGUAUUCCGACGGAAAAAAAUCCCAUACAUUUUUAACUACAGUGAUUACUAAAUUAAUAGCAGGCACCAAGACAGAUGUCAAAACGUCUUGAAAAUGUUUAUCUGUGAAUAAUUGAGAAGGUAGUGGGACGCAUUAUCUGAUUGUGUAAUGAAAUAUGUAUGAGGAACAGCUGUUUGCAGCAGCCCCUUCCCCUUGCCGCCUUAGCCAGGGCCCUUCUCUCGCAAGCUUUCUUCUACUUUCUUCCACCUUUUUCUUCCUUCUACUUUCUAGUUCGCUCUCUUCUUCCUUAACUGCUCGCACGGCUUUGGCUGCAGUGAACCCAGAGUCGCCUGGUUCUCUGAUGAAGGUUAGCCACAAGGUUUCCUCUAAGCCUUGCUGGAUUGGCGUUCCGUAGUGGGAUGAGGCUUCGUUGUCUGCUGUUCUGGCCAUCGCGCCUUCCGGCCAGGCUGCCCGCUGGGUCUCCAUGGAGUCUGCGGG
rnacentral:lncRNA from 1 species